CCUACGGGGGGCAGCAGUGGGGAAUAUUGCACAAUGGGGGAAACCCUGAUGCAGCGACGCCGCGUGAGUGAAGAAGUAUUUCGGUAUGUAAAGCUCUAUCAGCAGGGAAGAAGUUGACGGUACCUGAGUAAGAAGCCCCGGCUAACUACGUGCCAGCAGCCGCGGUAAUACGUAGGGGGCAAGCGUUAUCCGGAUUUACUGGGUGUAAAGGGAGCGUAGACGGCAGUGCAAGUCUGAAGUGAAAGCCCCGGGCUUAACCCGGGAAUUGCUUUGGAAACUGUACGGCUGGAGUGCUGGAGAGGUAA
rnacentral:rRNA from 1 species